GGCAGCGUAGCUCAAUGGCAGAGCAAUCGUUUCAUAAGCGAUAGGUCAUUGGUCCGAUUCCAAUCGCUGCUACUA
rnacentral:tRNA from 5 species